AUUGAACGCUGGCGGCAGGCCUAACACAUGCAAGUCGAACGAGUGGCGGACGGGUGAGUAAUGUCUGGGAAACUGCCCGAUGGAGGGGGAUAACUACUGGAAACGGUAGCUAAUACCCCGUAUCAUCGGAUGUGCCCAGAUGGGCUUAGCUAGUGGGUGGGGUAACGGAUCACCUAGGCGACGAUCCCUAGCUGGUCUGAGAGGAUGACCAGCCACACUGGAACUGAGACACGGUCCAGACUCCUACGGGAGGCAGCAGUGGGGAAUAUUGCGCAAUGGGCGCAAGCCUGAUACAGCCAUGCCGCGUGUAUGAAGAAGGCCUUCGGGUUGUAAAGUACUUUCAGCGAGGAGGCGUUACUCGCAGAAGAAGCACCGGCUAACUCCGUGCCAGCAGCCGCGGUAAUUC
rnacentral:rRNA from 1 species